AUGACCUUCACCAUCAUCUUCAUCUCCACACUUUUGUUCUCCUUACAAGGGUGUAAAUCACAGAUGACAGUAACUCAAAGUCCUUCAGUGAAAACUGCAGCACGAGGAGACUCUGUUACUAUGAACUGUAAACUCAGUUCUUCUUCACCUUGUAACCCAAAACCCUGUGUGUCCUGGUACUUACAAAAACCUGGAGAAGCUCCUAAACUCCUGAUAUAUCUGACAAACCGGCUUCAGUCUGGAACUCCAUCAAGAUUCAGUGGCAGUGGAGUAUAUGGUGGUACAGAUUUUACUCUAAGCAUCAGUGAAGUUCAGCCUGAAGAUGCAGGAGAUUAUUACUGUAUGGGUGUACGAAAUAGUGUGUUCACACAGUGA